CAGCAGUUCAGACACCCAGUUUUGGAAGGAAAUCAGAAUGAAGCAGAAGACUUCCUUUCCAGCUACCAUGUGAGAACUCAUGGUGAAUGAAGAGCAAAUGAGUAAAUGUAGGUAAAGCUCUUAGAAGCAUGCACCUCAGAGUGUCAGCACUAUCUGAUAGUUCCAUUAAUAAGUCUGGAAAAAAUAACAGUACUUCCAGAGACAACAUCUAGAAGGCUACAGAAUAGGAAAUGAAGGAAACAGAUUUUAAUGUGUGUUCUGUUGUAACCUGUGAAUUUUCCACAAGUGUGUUUUUCUCGUUGUUUUUAAUAUAAAAUAUUUUUAUAAACUAAGCCCCAUGUCAUGGCACGUGACACCCACUUUGGUCCCACGGUGAGGAAUCCAGAUAGGGUGCAGUGGGGAUGGCUAUUUCUGCUCUAGGAUGUUGGGAUCUCAGGAGAGGAGAUUCACCAGUUGGGGUUGAUACUGACACUAGGAGCUGGACUCCUCUGAGGUGACGUCACUGCCAGGUCUGUAGCUGAAGCUGCGUUUGCUGGCGGAGCUUCAGUAAGCCUCCCCAUGAGGCCUGGGCUUCCUCCUAGAAGGCAGAACUGCAGAGCUCAUUGUGGGUAGUGGAGAACUCCAACAGGAGAUUGACCUGAGUGGCUCACGGCCAUUUCAGGCUUAACUGUGGACAUUACACAGUGUUCUUUCCAGGACAUCUGUCAGUGUCUUAAUUCUGUAUCUACACAGAGAGAAAGCCAUGAGAGAACCCAAGGAGAAGGCAGUCAUCUCAAAGCCAAGGAUGGACUGCUCAAGAAAAUCCAACUCGACCUUAAAUCCCAGCCUCCAGAACAUGAGAGAAUAGUGUCCGGUCUUUUU